rnacentral:rRNA from 1 species
AGUGAACGCUGGCGGUAGGCCUAACACAUGCAAGUCGAACGGCAGCACAGUAAGAGCUUGCUCUUACGGGUGGCGAGUGGCGGACGGGUGAGGAAUACAUCGGAAUCUACUUUUUCGUGGGGGAUAACGUAGGGAAACUUACGCUAAUACCGCAUACGACCUACGGGUGAAAGCAGGGGAUCUUCGGACCUUGCGCGAUUGAAUGAGCCGAUGUCGGAUUAGCUAGUUGGCGGGGUAAAGGCCCACCAAGGCGACGAUCCGUAGCCGGUCUGAGAGGAUGAUCAGCCACACUGGAACUGAGACACGGUCCAGACUCCUACGGGAGGCAGCAGUGGGGAAUAUUUGACAAUGGGCGCAAGCCUGAUCCAGCCAUACCGCGUGGGUGAAGAAGGCCUUCGGGUUGUAAAGCCCUUUUGUUGGGAAAGAAAAGCAGCAGGUUAAUACCCCGCUGUUCUGACGGUACCCAAAGAAUAAGCACCGGCUAACUUCGUG